AUUGGAUUUAACAUAAGGAAGAAAAAGGAGGAGUGAUGAGAAGAGAGAACAGCUAAAGAAGGCUUUGAAAUGCCACCUCGUCAGAAGUUCUUGGGACAAAGAGGUGUAUCUACAGAAAGACAGAAAAUUAAUCACAGGAACGGAACACACUCUGGAUUUUCUUCCGAUGUGCAGACAACGCUGAUUGAAGUAUUGAGUCCACCUUCCUGUAAAUAUUCCAUUUCAAUAGAUUGCCAAAAGGAACUGAAAAAUACUUCAAAGGCAAUAACUUCAGACUCUAACUUCGUGCUUUCACUGAGAACGUAGAUCCUACAGCAAGGAAGUAACUGUAAGUGUUUGUGUUAUAUCUUUUCUUUUUUUAAAUGAAGUUUAUUGUAAGUCUUUUACUCUAAAUGUGUUCUGGAAAGCCAUCGUGACUG
rnacentral:lncRNA from 1 species